GAAGACCUUGCAUUCGAGUACAUC
rnacentral:siRNA from 1 species